GAACAAACCUAUGAUGUGGACACCCCCAGCUCGGUUGAAUCUUUGGAUAUCCCCUCGGACACGUCCAACAACGCCGGAAGAGUUGCUCGACAAG
rnacentral:sRNA from 1 species